rnacentral:lncRNA from 1 species
AUGGAACCUCUCACAAAACAGCACCUACUUUCAAGAAUGAAAAAGGUAUCCCAGCACUUUGGGAGGCCCGGGCCGGCAGAUCACAAGGUCAGGAGAUCGAGACCAUCCUGGCUAACAUGGCGAAACCCCAUCUCUACUAAAAAAAUACAAAAUUUAGCUGGGCAUGGUGGCGGGCACCUGUAG